CCCUUUGUACACACCGCCCGU
rnacentral:ncRNA from 2 species